rnacentral:misc_RNA from 1 species
AACGCACAUUGCGCCCGCCAGUAUUCUGGCGGGCAUGCCUGUCCGAGCGUCAUUUCGACCCUCAGGCCCCUCCUGUAGGGGACUGGUGUUGGGGGACGGCACCCGCCGGGAGAGGACCUCGUCCUCCUCCGGCGCGCCGCCCCCGAAAUGCAGUGGCGGCCUCGCCCGCAGCGACCUCCGCGUAGUAGCACAAACCUCGCGGCCUGGGAAGCUGGGCGCGGCCACAGCCGUAAAACACCCACCACGCGAACACUCUUCGCACCCUAAGAGUUGACCUCGGAUCAGGUAGGAAUACCCGCUGAACUUAA